rnacentral:rRNA from 1 species
UACGUAGGUGGCAAGCGUUGUCCGGAUUUAUUGGGCUUAAAGGGUGCGUAGGCGGCUUUGUAAGUCAGUGGUGAAAUAUGGCAGCUCAACUGUCAAGGUGCCAUUGAUACUGCGGAGCUUGAGUACAGAUGAGGUAGGCGGAAUUGACGGUGUAGCGGUGAAAUGCUUAGAUAUCGUCAAGAACACCUAUAGCGAAGGCAGCUUACUAGGCUGUAACUGACGCUGAGGCACGAAAGUGUGGAGAUCAAACAGG